UACGUAGGGGGCAAGCGUUGUCCGGAUUUAUUGGGCGUAAAGAGCGUGUAGGCGGUUUGGUAGGUCCGUUGUGAAAACUCGAGGCUCAACCUCGAGACGCCGAUGGAAACCAUCAGACUAGAGUCCGGAAGAGGAGAGUGGAAUUCCUGGUGUAGCGGUGAAAUGCGCAGAUAUCAGGAAGAACACCCGUGGCUAAGGCGGCUCUCUAGUACGGUACUG
rnacentral:rRNA from 1 species